UAUUUCCUUAUUAUAGAAUUUAGCUAAUAUAAUAGAAGUAGGCAUUAACUAUUACUCCACCCUAGAGAUUCUUUGAUUGGUUCUAUGUUGACUGCCAGUUUAUUAGCUUUCGUCGUAGCUGUAUAGCGAGUGCUAUAUGGACCAAAAAUUGAAGUAUCAAUACCACUUUUACCUAAUAGUAAGUCUACAAAGGUUUAUAUAAUAUG